UUUCUCUCUUUUCUUUGUCUUUAUUCUAAAUUUUUUCUUCCAUUUUCUUCUCAUUUCCACACCUACUCUCAGCCAAAAUUGGCACACAAAACCAGGUGUAGUACCCCCUUUUUAUAGGAAAGAAGGGGCGACACCAUGGGAUACCAACUCUUGGCAUCCCUUAAUUCUUACACACCACAACAUCAAUUUUAGCAUGAAAUCCCAAGAGCAAGGCA
rnacentral:lncRNA from 1 species